rnacentral:rRNA from 1 species
GAUGAACGCUGGCGGCGUGCCUAAUACAUGCAAGUCGAGCGAACGGACGAGAAGCUUGCUUCUCUGAUGUUAGCGGCGGACGGGUGAGUAACACGUGGAUAACCUACCUAUAAGACUGGGAUAACUUCGGGAAACCGGAGCUAAUACCGGAUGAUAUUUUGAACCGCACGGUUCAAAAGUGAAAGACGGUCUUGCUGUCACUUAUAGAUGGAUCCGCGCUGCAUUAGCUAGUUGGUAAGGUAACGGCUUACCAAGGCAACGAUGCAUAGCCGACCUGAGAGGGUGAUCGGCCACACUGGAACUGAGACACGGUCCAGACUCCUACGGGAGGCAGCAGUAGGGAAUCUUCCGCAAUGGGCGAAAGCCUGACGGAGCAACGCCGCGUGAGUGAUGAAGGUCUUCGGAUCGUAAAACGCUGUUAUUAGGGAAGAACAUAUGUGUAAGUAACUGUGCACAUCUUGACGGUACCGAAUCAGAAAGCCACGGCUAACUACGUG